GUGGGCUCUGUCUAAAUUUAGCAGUGAAAUUAGAUUUAGGGAAUGUGAAAAUAGGGGAAGAAGUGUUCUCAAGGGAAGCAGUGGUGUCAGCACAGCUGAGGGAUGUCACAAUAGCUACAUUUUGUCAAUUAUGAGCAUCAUCGGGGGGGAUCUCCCCAGCAAUGCAGGGCAAGGUUUAUUCAUAAGUGCAUCUUGAGGAUAGGUGGGAAGGCGAUAGAAAGCAGUGACUGCAGGAAGACUGGGGCAGGCAGAUGGAGGGAGAAAGAAGGAAGGGAGUGGAGGUAAGGAAUAGAAGUAGCCCCAGUGCUGGGAGCAAGAUAAAGAGAGCCUGGAUAGAAUGCUACGGAGGUCACUUUUCGGAGACUAAUUCAAAGAGAAACAAGCGAGAAAAUAAAAUUACACGUGCGAACAUGCGAACGAUCAAAGAGAAAACAAGACCACACUCGAAGCCCUCGCAGUGGGAGAAAUCCAUGGCCUCCUGUUGCCGGUCGCCUGGCGCAGAAAGUGGACAACCAGGCAAGGCAGCCCAAGAGAAGCAAAAGCUAAAGAGCAAACCUUCCGGGGCCCUUCCUGUCCUCAGGCAGAUUCGCUGACCUCUCCAACAAGCAUCCCUCCCAGAGAAAAAAAGGAAGGUUAAACGCCUGGGCCAACGCGCGGCCAGGACAGCGAGGCAGGAUGCCCCUGGGGAGGAAGGAGGAGUGGAGAUUCUCCUUUCAGUCCCCACGCCUGGGUGAGGAGGGAGAAGGCUGGUCCAGCCCCGCGGCAUCCAGCUUCCCAAAUUAAGCACCUCCCGCACGGACCAGCGGAGAGUGGGUUCCGCACCUUGCCUUCCCCGAACUCCCUCCUCCCCCGUUCCCGGUUGUUCCCCGUCCCGCUGGGGAACCGCCACACUCAGGAGGAGAGAAAGGCAG
rnacentral:lncRNA from 1 species